UUGUACUACCUGGAGGGUGGUGCUGCCCGGCUGGGACAGGCUAGGGACUGGGCCUACAUCUAUCUUGCCCUGGACUGACCAAGAAAAUAAGUAACCAGGAUGGAGUCCUUCUGUGUAGACACCUCCAGGACAUUUUCCCUGGGCUUAAUAUGUCUGAGAGGUCUUCAGAGGGCUGUGGCCUCACAGUGCAAAAUGGCCGAGGGGUAGUCUUGCAGCAAUUCAUCUGCCUGUUUAAGACUCUUGUCUCCUUCUUAAAAUCAUCCCAAGCUGGCACCUUACAGUGCAACCCAGACUGCUCUAUUUUAAUCUAAAAUUGUCUUGCUAAUCUGGAGGGAAAGUGAGGAAUCCAAAAGUAGAGGAGGGCCUCAGGGCUAUCACUGCUAUGGCUUGAGGCCUAUCCCCAGCCAGAGAGCUGACCCAAUGGCAUAGCAGACCUCUCCUGUCUCACCCGCUGCUCCCCUCAGCAGUGUAUUUCAGUCGCUCUGCCUGUUCUGCUGCCCACUCUGUCUCUGGUGAAUCCUCUCACUCCCCACCCCACUACUAUACUAUACACUCCAGUUCUUCUAUGAUAUAAUCUACUGUGUGGGAAACCUGAACUUUGCAAUGGUGAUAUUGGUGGAAAGAAGUUACCUUUUGGUCAGUUAAUGUAAACAAUUCUAAACAUAACUUCAGAAACAUAAGAUUUAUUUUAAUUUCAUUGAUGUAAAGCCACAACCAUUUACAAAAUCUUUAGAAUGUUUAUCAUCUGGAUUCAAUAUUUUUUUUCUCCCUACCCAUGGAGAAUAAUGGCAAUUUGGAACUCAGCACCCAUCCUAACCUUAAAACUUAAAACCAUGUUCUAGAGACUUCCUUGGAGCUGGGAGUCAAGAUAUGAGUUAUAUUCUGCAGAGAAGAUGAACUGGAGAGAUCUGGAAGGUAGACCGGAGAAAGAGAGGUCAUUUGCUGCUUUGAUGUUGCUGCUGCCCUGCAAGGUCAUAGUCACUUGCGUUAGGAGCAGUGGGGGAGGGCAGUAUUGCAACUGCGACAGCAUUGCAGGGUCCGUUCCCCAGGUUCAUGGGUAUUGAGAGGAGCUGGGCAGUGGGGAUGGCAGCAGGGAUGGUGGCAACCUUUGAUGCCUGCACCAUAGCUUCAGGGUCUUUCCUUAGUGGAGGAUGUGGCGGAGCUUCCCUUUGGAAGCCAGUUUGGUGAUAUGGAUCUGAGAGUUACUCCUGGAAGUCCAACCUAAGGGUGACUCCUCUAGCCCUUCCAACAAUAUUGUGUCUGGCAGCAAAUGGACGUAAUGAUGAAGAAGCCUUUCCUGGAUCUUAGAACACAGUGGCCAGCUCUGGUCCUCGACCUCUCCGGAAGGCCUGCUUAGAGACUGGUGAUAUCCCAGACACCAUAACCUGGUGCCUUGACCACAGUGUCAAACCAGGAGGGAGCAGCAUGAGGGCCCUGAAGCAGAAGUAUGAUUCUCUCCUGCUGGGUGAGAGGCUCACAAUGAUUGCUGGUGCCACCAGGUCUUACGUAAAGUUCCUGAAUGUUAAAGUUUUGAAGAUGGCCUCACAAUGCCCUAACCCAACCGGGAGCUGAGCUCCACUCAGAAAAGGGAAGCGACAGAGCUGCAGGGUGAAGAGCACUUGUCUUGGAAUCAUGGACCUUUUGAAUUCAUGGUUCCACCACUGACCAGCUAAGUCAACAGACUCAACCUUAUCUGUUGACCAUGAACACUGAUACUUAUCACCUGGUUAAAGAAAUACAGAAGAAAAAAAUAGAAUUAAGGCUCAUGGUGAAA